GCCUUAGGUGGCGCAAUGGGUUAGUGCAGCUGGCUGUUAACCAGAAGGUUGGUGGUUCAAGCCUAUCCAGGGACG